GAGUUUGAUCCUGGCUCAGGAUGAACGCUGGCGGCGUGCUUAACACAUGCAAGUCGAACGGGGCGUGCAGCCGGAAGCCCUUCGGGGCGGACGGGUACACUGCCUAGUGGCGGACGGGUGAGUAACGCGUGGGCAACCUGCCCCAUACCGGGGGACAGCAGCUGGAAACGGCUGUUAAUACCGCAUAAGUGCGCGGUGCCGCAUGGCACGGCGCAGAAAACUCCGGUGGUAUGGGAUGGGCCCGCGUCUGAUUAGCUGGUUGGCAGGGUAACGGCCUACCAAGGCGACGAUCGGUAGCCGGCCUGAGAGGGCGGCCGGCCACAUUGGGACUGAGACACGGCCCAGACUCCUACGGGAGGCAGCAGUGGGGAAUAUUGCACAAUGGGGGGAACCCUGAUGCAGCGACGCCGCGUGGGCGAGGGAGUACUUCGGUAUGUAAAGCCCUAUCAGCAGGGAAGAAGAUGACGGUACCUGACCAAGAAGCCCCGGCUAACUACGUGCCAGCAGCCGCGGUAAUACGUAGGGGGCAAGCGUUAUCCGGAUUCACUGGGUGUAAAGGGAGCGCAGGCGGCGCGGCAAGUCUGAUGUGAAAACCCGG
rnacentral:rRNA from 1 species